GGCUUAGUGGUCUAGUGGUAUGAUUCCUGCUUUGGGUGCAGGAGGUCCCGGGUUCGAUUCCUGGCUGAGCCC
rnacentral:tRNA from 1 species